rnacentral:lncRNA from 1 species
GUUUUUUCUUGCAUUAUUUUAGAUAAACCAAUUAUCACCCUUGGUUUACACCAAUUGGAAGCAAGUAACAUGAGAGUUCUGCCCUAUUUUCUGUUGGUCUAACAGUAACUAGGAGACUAUUCCACUCCGAGCGCCGUCUUUUAGUAAGACACAGACCACCCAGAACUCAUUCAGAGGAGAAUGGUUAGGAUGUUGCAGAUUUCUUUCCAGCUCAUCUGAAAACGAGUUUUCCUGUUGAGCUAAGAAUGAGCAAUGGGUAUUCUGCAUUCCUCUGAGAAUGAGAAGAGGUGUCACUGGCAGCCAGGAAUUGAUCUGGUCUUAUCUGCUGGGCCUUGGUGAUGCUACUCUGCAAGUUCUCCUUUCAGUUUAUGCUUUUGAAAACAAAAGUCCUCAUCUGUCCUUCAAGUGUGAGCCAGAGCCAGAUUCCUGA